rnacentral:rRNA from 1 species
AUUGAACGCUGGCGGCAGGCCUAACACAUGCAAGUCGAACGAGUGGCGGACGGGUGAGUAAUGUCUGGGAAACUGCCUGAUGGAGGGGGAUAACUACUGGAAACGGUAGCUAAUACCGCAUACCAUCAGAUGUGCCCAGAUGGGAUUAGCUAGUUGGUGGGGUAACGGCUCACCAAGGCGACGAUCCCUAGCGGGUAUGAGAGGAUGACCAGCCACACUGGAACUGGUAAACGGUCCAGACUCCUACGUGAGGCAGCAGUGGGUAAUAGUGCACAAUGGGCGCAAGCCUGAUGCAGCCAUGCCUAGGGUAUGAAGAAGUCCUUCGGGUUGUAAAGUACUGUCAGCGGGGAGGCGUGACCCGCAGAAGAAGCCCCGGCUAACUCCGUGCCAGCAGCCGCGGUAAUAC